UCUACGGGAGGCAGCAGUAGGGAAUAUUGCUCAAUGGGGGAAACCCUGAUGCAGCGACGCCGCGUGAGUGAUGAAGUUUUUCGGAUUGUAAAGCCCUUUCAUUAGGGAAGAUAAUGACGGUAUCUGAGUAAUAAGCCCCGGCUAACUCCGUGCCAGCAGCCGCGGUAAUACGUAGGGGGCAAGCGUUACUCGGAGUUACUGGGGGUAAAGAGAGCGUAGGCGGGAGAGCAAGUCUGAAGUGAAAUGCGAGGGCUUAACCCUAGGACUGCAUUUGAAACUGUAAGUCUGGAGUGUGGGAGAGGUAAGUGGAAUUCCUGGUGUAGCGGUAAAAUGCGUAGAGAUUAAGAGGAAUACCAAUUGCGAAGGCGACUUGCUGGACCAUAACUGACGUUGAUGCGCGAAAGCGUGGGGAGCAAACAGGAUUAGAUACCCCGGUAGUC
rnacentral:rRNA from 1 species